rnacentral:rRNA from 1 species
AACGAACGCUGGCGGCAGGCUUAACACAUGCAAGUCGAACGCACUCUUCGGAGUGAGUGGCAGACGGGUGAGUAACGCGUGGGAACCUACCUUGUGGUGCGGAAUAACUCAGGGAAACUUGAGCUAAUACCGCAUGUGCCCUUCGGGGGAAAGAUUCAUCGCCACAGGAUGGGCCCGCGUCGGAUUAGCUAGUUGGUGGGGUAACGGCCUACCAAGGCGACGAUCCGUAGCUGGUCUGAGAGGAUGAUCAGCCACACUGGGACUGAGACACGGCCCAGACUCCUACGGGAGGCAGCAGUGGGGAAUAUUGGACAAUGGGGGCAACCCUGAUCCAGCCAUGCCGCGUGAGUGAUGAAGGCCUUAGGGUUGUAAAGCUCUUUCACCGGUGAAGAUAAUGACGGUAACCGGAGAAGAAGCCCCGGCUAACUUCGUGCCAGCCGCCGCAGUAAUAC